rnacentral:rRNA from 1 species
UACGUAGGGUGCGAGCGUUAAUCGGAAUUACUGGGCGUAAAGCGUGCGCAGGCGGUUCGUUGUGUCGGUGGUGAAAUCCCCGGGCUCAACCUGGGAAUGGCAAUGGAUACUGGGUCGCUAGAGUGUGAUAGAGGAUGGUGGAAUUCCCGGUGUAGCGGUGAAAUGCGUAGAGAUCGGGAGGAACAUCAGUGGCGAAGGCGGCCAUCUGGAUCAACACUGACGCUGAGGCACGAAAGCGUGGGGAGCAAACAGG